UGUCUUUUUGAAAAUAAUUUAAGGUUUAAUCUGCCCACUGAUUUAAUAUUAAAGGGCUGCAGUAUAUUGACUGUACAAAGGUAGCAUAAUCAUUAGUCAUUUAAUUGGUGACUUGUAUGAAGGAUUGGAUGAAAUAUAAACUGUCUUUUAAUUAAAAAUAGAAUUUAAUUUUUUAAUUAAAAAGUUAAAAUAAUUUAAAAAGACGAGAAGACCCUAUAGAGUUUUAUAAAUAAUUUAAUUAAGAUUAUUUGUAAGAAAUUGAAAUUAAAAUUAAUUUAUUUAUUAUAUUGGGGUGAUAAAAAAAUAAAUUUAACUUUUUUUUUUAUAAGACAUUUAUAAGUGGUUAAAUGAUCCAGUAAUAUUGAUUAUAAGAAAAAAUUACCUUAGGGAUAACAGCGUAAUUUUUUUUUUUAGUUCACAUAAGAAAAAGAGUUUGCGACCUCGAUGUUGGAUUAAGAUAAAAUUUAAAUGUAGAAG
rnacentral:rRNA from 8 species